AGUGAACGCUGGCGGCAGGCCUAAUACAUGCAAGUCGAACGGCAGCACAGCAGAGCUUGCUCUGUGGGUGGCGAGUGGCGGACGGGUGAGGAAUACAUGGGAAUCUGCCCAGUCGUGGGGGAUAACGUAUGGAAACGUACGCUAAUACCGCAUGCGCCCUACGGGGGAAAGUCGGGGACCGCAAGGCCUGACGCGAUUGGAUGAGCCCAUGUUCGAUUAGCUAGUUGGCGGGGUAAAGGCCCACCAAGGCGACGAUCGAUAGCUGGUCUGAGAGGAUGAUCAGCCACACUGGAACUGAGACACGGUCCAGACUCCUACGGGAGGCAGCAGUAGGGAAUAUUGGACAAUGGGGGCAACCCUGAUCCAGCCAUGCCGCGUGAGUGAAGAAGGCCCUCGGGUUGUAAAGCUCUUUUGUCCGGAAGAAAAGCAAUCGGUUAAUACCCGGUUGUUCUGACGGUACCGGAAGAAUAAGCACCGGCUAACUUCGUGCCAGC
rnacentral:rRNA from 1 species